rnacentral:tRNA from 1 species
CAGGAUGUAGCUAAAACAACAUAGCAGUUCCCUUACACUGAUCAGUUAUCCGUGCAAAUCGGAUCACCCUGA